rnacentral:rRNA from 1 species
CUCAUUAAGUUGGGCACUCUGUGGAGACUGCCGGUGUCAAACCGGAGGAAGGUGGGGAUGACGUCAAGUCCUCAUGGCCCUUAUGACCAGGGCUACACACGUGCUACAAUGGCCGGUACAAAGAGUUGCGAUACCGCGAGGUGGAGCUAAUCUCAUAAAGCCGGUCUCAGUUCGGAUUGGAGUCUGCAACUCGACUCCAUGAAGUUGGAAUCGCUAGUAAUCGCGGAUCAGCAUGCCGCGGUGAAUACGUUCCCGGGCCUU